rnacentral:lncRNA from 1 species
CCCGGGUAUUUAUCAUGUUGGAACCAACCUCUUUUGGAUUCCGAAAGUGCCCCUGGAAAUUAUUUAGUGGUCCAACAUCAUAUUAAUUGGCCUUUUCAUUUAAAAAAAUAUGCCUGAACAAUUUCGUUGGCUCUAAAACUUUUUGAGCAACACCACAAUUUGGUGCAUGAAUUAUGUGCCAAGUUUCAUUCUUAACAACCUCCAUUUUUGUGCUCCAACUAUUUGCAAAACAGAAGAGGAAAAUAAGAAAAGGGAAAAGACAAAAAAGGAGAAAAGCAGAACCCCCUUUUUCCCCACCGGGCCUCAACCCCGUCGGCCCAGUCGGCCACGCUCACAGGCUGGCCCACCCAUCGCCUCCUUAUCCCCCCCACUCUCGUGACCUAAACCGCUGCCCCCCACUCCCCACGCACCCCCACUUCCCCGAUCCCCUUCUGGAUCGGGGCAAUGUCCCCGGUGACGACCCUAAUCACUGUCGCCAUCGCUGCCUCGACAUGCAGCACUCCAUCACCGGACCGCCGCCAUCGUCCUCAACCUCCUCCUCAUGGCCCUGUCCUCCUCCCCGUUCUGGAAGGGCACCCGACGGCGCCACCCGCCAUCCCGAUGUCGCAAUCGCAACUCCGGCCCGUCCCCGAGCAUGCUUUAGCACCUCUACAGGGCCUUGUGAGCCCUCAUCCCCUUCCCCUCCCCCUCCCGUCGCUGUAGGACGCCACCACUGAUGCGCCCGAACCUCUCCGUCCGCUCCCGCGCGCGUUGUCCCGCCUGCAGCCGCUGCCCGGCGGCGCCCGCACUUGCUGCUACUGAGGCACUGCUGCUGCCGUGCCUCGCGCACCUGCUGCUGCAUUUGCCGCGGCUCCCGGCCAUCCCGCCUCUCCGGUCCGAGCCAGCGCUCACCGCGUCCAACCGCCGUCCGGGAUCCCCUGCAGACGCCUCGCCGCUGUUCGCCAUCGCGGCCCGCACCUGCGCCCCUGGCCUUGUCUCCGGCCGCCGAUCAACUGCGCCACACCCCCUGGCCGCCCUUGCCCCUCGCCGGUGCAACCCCCCAGCCGCCUUGGCCUCGCCUCUGCCUUGCCCCGCGCCCGAGCGGGCUUCGGCCUCGACGGGCGCCAGCACCCGUCACCCGCGCGCCCGUUUAGCCUCAUGGGCCACUGACCACAGGGGCCCACACCCCCUUUUUUGUAAAAAAAGAUUUAUAAAUAAGUAAUAAUUAAUUAAUUAAUUAGGUAAAUAAUUAACCUAAUUAACUGUGAUUAAUUAGUCUAAUUAACUAAAUUAGUUAAUUUAACCAUGUUAAAUUAGUUAGGUCAAUGACAGAUGGGCCCCCUGCUCUGUUUGACCAGUCAACGCUCUAUUGAUUGCUGAGGUCAUGGUGACGUCAGGUUGACGUCAUAAUUCCCUUUCUGAUUUAAAAAUAAUUCCAGAAAUGCUUUUAUCUUUGAAAAAUCAUAUAAAAUAAACCGUAACUCGGAUGAAAAGUUUUCUGCAUGAAAGUUUCUCAGAACGACAAGACAAAUCUGAAUAUGCGAUCCGCUUGUCUGCCACAUGCCCCUAACUACCUAAACAUGCAACUUUUCCCCUCCGUUUCAUCUGUCCGAAAAUGCUAAACCUGGGGAAACAUUCCCGGAUGUUAUCCCCCUUCGCCGGUAACAUGUAGCACCGCGUUAGAACACGUCUAGCUCUGCCUGUUCUCCUGUUAUGCUCUUGCUUGCUAUGUAUUUACUGUUUCUCCCCCCUCUUCUCUCCGGUAGACCCCAAGACUGCCGCUAAUGCCGCCGUGUUCAACUACGUCGACGACGACCCCUUCUUCUUGUCUGAGCAACCAGGCAAGCCCCCCUUUGAUCAUCUCGAUAUCGCCCAUUCCGUUCUCUCAUGCUUGCAUUAGAUUUUGCUACUGUUAUUGUUUGCUCCUAUUCUGAUGCAUAGCCUGCUUAUUGCAACCUGCUAUUUGUUACCUACCUGCUUAUCCUAAACUGCUUAGUAUAGGUUGGUUAGAUACUUACGAGGCGUGGCCGGGCAUUCUUAGCCCUUGCCGCAAGUACUCGAGAUGGGGCGACGGGGUCACAUCGAUCGUGAGUCUCUGCUCGUUACCGCGUGCUCCUAAUCCACUAUGAUUUGGAUAUUUGAUCUGAGGGGCCUCUGGCCUGAUAGCACUAACCAUCACGUGGGCAUAGUAUGAGCGUUCUGCGUCGUAUACAUCAGCCGAAGCUUAAUAGACGUCAGGACUGAGCGGCGCGCGCCGGGUUGGACUAGUAAGCACCUACCUUAUUGAAUGAGGUAGCUAGGUCUGCUCACUGGCCGCGUACGCAACGUGUAGGAGUUCCCUGGGAGAUGGCCCAUGACCCCUGGGGGCAUAGGUUUAGUCCGGCGUGCUGGCCCCUCCAUUAAGCCUAGGUCGGGUUGCGGCUUAUUGUUUGGCCGAGGCCGGGCAUGACCCAGGAAAGUGUGUCCGGCCGGAGUUAAUCGAGCGUGGUGGGUAAGUUGGUGCACCCCUGUAGGGAAGAAAACAACUAUCGAUAGCCUGUUCUACGGUAACGGACACUUGGAGUUGUAUCCCGAUCGAUACAACUAGAACUGGAUACUUGUGAUGAGACUGGAUGGUGAUGAGUAAUGGAUUGUGAUGAUAACUAGAUAGUAUGGCUCUGGGAUUGCUUUCUCGCAGGGAAUCGAGAAAGGAUCUCUGGACGAGGUUGAUGACACUCCUACUACUUUACUUUUUGCUACUCUAUUCCUUCCUGUUGCUGCAAGAUGAUGGUUUCCAGAAGAUGCUAGUCUUCGAUAGGCUAGGCUUUCCCCUUCCCUUUUGGCAUUCUGCAGUUUAGUCCACAGAUACAACCCAUUCCUUUGAUACAGAUGCAUACUUAGUUUAGAUCUGACGUAAGUCUUGCAAGUACUUUGGAUGAGUACUCACGGUUGCUUUGCUACUUCUUUUUUCCCCAUACCCGAUUGUUGCGACCAGAUGACGGAUCCCAGGAGCCAGACGACGCCACUGAUGACUACUACCCAGAGGAUGCCUAAUACUACGUAAAGACCGCAGAUGACUAGGAGUAGUUAGGAGGCUCCCAGGCAGGAGGCCUUGCCUUUUCGAUCGUUGUUGCUUUUGUGCUAGCCUUCUUAAGGCAUACUUGUCUAACUCAUGUCUGUACUCAGAUAUUGUUGCUUCCGCUGACUCUUGUGUAUUCGAGCUUAUGUAUUCGAGCCCUCGACGCCCCUGGCUUGUAAUAUAAAGCUUGUAUUAUUUUUAAUUUGUGUCUAGAGUUGUGUUGUGAUAUCUUCCCGUGAGUCCUUGAUCUUGAUCGUACACAUUUGCGUGUAUGAUUAGUGUAUGAUUGAAUCGAGGGCGUCACAAGUUGGUAUUAGAGCCGACUGCCUGUAGGUAGACCCCUUUCCAACUACUUGGCCGAAGUUGAGUCUAGUCACUGAAAAAAAAACUUUUACUAACAUUGGCUGUGUGUCUUACGGGCCCUCGUCGCCAUUGGGUGGUAUUAGGAUCUUUUACUCCUCAUCUAUACUCCGGGACUCUGAUCUCUCUUCCAUUCGGGUUAAAAUAUUUUACUAACUCUAACUUUAGGUUCUCGUAACCACUUCCUACCGGAGAGCCCCUUCAGUCCAGAUGAUCGCUUGCUGCUUCAGAAGAUUUUGAAGAUACUCUUCGAUGUUUCCCUGAAACCCUUGUGCCCUUCGCUAUUGCAAUUCCAUAUCACCGAUAAAUCCCUCUCGAUAACUACAUACACCUGUCGUUCAUAUUGUCAUCCCCAGUUGAUCUUGUUAUUACAAGAUGCCUUGUAAUACUUUCAGGUAUUUCGAGAAUCCAUUGUGCCUGCUGCAUUGUAGCUCCUUUUCCGCCUGUAUAAGUGUAUGAAUAAUUCCUCACAAUUAUCAGGGAUUCAUUCAUCCCUAAUUGUUUAGAUAUUUCACAAAAGUCUUUGAAAUACCAUUCAAUCUUCCGAAAAUCCUCCGCAGCCUAUUGUUGUUGAAAUUGUUGUUUGCUUGCAUUAUGGUUAAUUCCAUAUUUCUAGCAUCUUCUUGUUUGAUCCAAUAUGUCGCGAAUGCUCGUAAUCCUCAAUCAGAUCCUAGCAUUCAUCCUUCCGGCUCAGAUGUCACUCCAAACAUGUGCUUGUUCUUGUCAAAUCAAACCUUGAUUGAUUGUCGAUCUGUAUCGAUUCAACUCAAUUAUCUUUUGGUUAGAGCCUCUGCUUCAGAUCUUCUGAUUUGAAAAUCGUAAUUCAUUUGUAUGCAAGCUUUGAAGUUAUCCAGUUAUAUCUAUAACCCGAUGCCUUUGCAUUCUUUCUUCUUCUGGAUGAGUAUCGAUACUCACAUCAGGUCUUUUAUGGACCGCCAUAUCCUUGGUUGGAUUAUUAUCCGACGAUGUCCUUCAUAUUCAUUAAACUUGUGAGUUUUGCCCUGACACAUAAUGCCUUUGGUAAAUUCUAUCAUCUGCUUUUGUCAACCAUGCUCUGCUUUCGAGCUGGUAUAUUUUAAUCCUGAAGUUAGUGGUAUAUGUUCCUAAGAUACCCCUACGGGUUGAACCUAUGCCUUCCCUAAUCUGUGUGAACUCAAAAGAGAUGUGAGUCUUACUCUUUUGGUGCUUCACCAGAUAAAUAUUUCGCACUACAAAUUCUUCGAAAUCGAGAAAUGAAUGAAAAUUUGUGUAUUGGAGAAGUGGGAGUCGACCUUGAACCUUGCGUUCAUGCCCAUGGACACGAUGCCGAUCUUAUCAUGGAAGCUUCUCGUAAAAAUAAUACCCCCUUGGUAUAAGUUCAUCUUAUAUCUGGGAUUUGGUUUUCUGUAAUCAUGGUUCCGGCCAUAUUGAUAUUCUUUGAUUCCUUUUCUCAGACAAGUUAAAGCACUUGUCUUCUACAGACCAAUGCAUCUCCGCAACCUCUAUUUAGAUCUUCCUUCGAGUAUUACCCUCUGGUAUCUCGAGAAUAACAAAGAACUGUGUUGCUUCUUAUGAGUCUUCAUCUAGUAUUGCGUCUAGCCGAUUUCAGAUUUCCCCGGGUUCCGAGUUAUUAGUCACUCGAGGACCCGAUAAGUGAAUCAAUUCCACACCUCGAUUCAAUAACUCUAAGUAAUUCUCGUUGCUUACGAGUUUAAUAAUCAUUCAAGUCAUUCCUAGCAUAAUCGGAUAUAUCAUUAUCAUGCUAAAUUUUAACUGUGCUACCCGACCCUUCUUCCUGGAGCACAACUUCCGACGACGAGCUAAGCUUACAUAGAUUUUUCCUCAUCUUGUCAUUUCACCUCAAACAACAAGCUUGAUUUCGAGCUCGUGUCGCAUCCAUGGUUCCAAUAACCUUCCGCUUCAUCAUUCCUUUUGUUUGAUGUCGUCACUGUUCGAUGGCCUCUUCAUAGUACCUCGACAAAAUCUGUCGUGAUCCCCAUCAGUAUACUGACCCGUUUCAGGAUAUCAAUCGAAUUCAUGAUGAGAAAUACAAUCCUUGCCCCUCGAUGAUUUAUGUUAUCAUACACAACAUUAUUGCCUUCCCGCCAACACAAACUUGUUCAUAUAAUUUUGGUAAUACAUCCUUUUUUUGACAUGUCGAUGGAUUGUUGCUGAGCCCGUCGGCCACACACUCAUCUUUCCUUGCUGAAAUUGUAUGACUUAUUUUCUAAGUUGUUUCCGAUGGAUCCUUUGUGUAUCUGAAGUCCAACCUUUCCCUGAUGACCAUGUCAACACUAUCCCGAAGCAUGUGUAUGGUACUCCGAUCAUCAACAAGAACAUUGGGAGCGCAAUGCUAACUGUUCUUGAUCAAUUAUCCAAACACCGUUGUAUGGGUAAACCUGAUAAGUUCCUUGCCCCUUUACCUAACGGUCUAAUACUUGGAGUCUAAUCAUGCUCUGCCUUUCCUUGGGAAAGAUACACUCUAAUACUUGGGUAUAAACAUCUUUCCUUUCCAUUGGUCUGAUUAUCAUAAUAAUCACAUUUUCCUUUCCAUUGUUUUGUUUAACCUUUCUGGUAAUCAAACUUGCCUGAGCAGAGAUAAUUCCCUGCUUAUGUAAACACCUCAGUGUACAAGCUCUGUCAGUAAGACCUUGUUACUAUUGUUGAUGACAUUCCGGUAACCACCGAUGGACGAGAACUUUGCCUAUUGGUCCGCCUUGUUUCAACAAGCAGGAAAAUGGUUCUCUUCGUCUCUCGCACUUGGUACCAACGUUGUUGCCAACAUAAUUAACAGACUAUCCUCUGACCUGCCUUACUGUCAUGACCAUGCAAAUGAUAGGACCCUUCCCGCUUUCAAGCCAAAUGGAGGGCCCAUAACCCAUAGUUUCACAGGAUCGAAACCUGACUCUCCUGUACAACCUUGAUGCCGAAAUAUUCUUUACACUUGGCUUCAUAUCAUGUCACGAGCCACCUUUCGAGAGAUGAUCUAUUCCCGAUGCUCUGAACCCCCUUUCUGACACUUUGUUCAAGUAUCAAUCGUUGUUCAUUCAGUUGAAACUUCCUAUUGUACCUUCAUACUUUGCUCUCGAUGUUUUAUUAAGUUUCAACUCGAGAGAUCCUUCGGCCUCAUUCCCUGAAUUGUUCACUAGAUAAUUAACCCUAUAAGGGUCAGUUCUCCCGAAGUUACUCUUUACUUCCGCACUUAAAUCUCGGGACGAGAUUUCUUGUAGUGGAGGAGAUUUGUAACACCCCUAGUGUCAUGCUACAGUAACCCCAUGUUAAUGGUGCUAUGUCAUCAUGUUACUGUUGCUAAUCCUCACUUGAUCCAAAUCACUGUUCAUAUUCAAACUCAAAUUUAAAGUCAAAAAUUCAAAUUUGCCAAACCUGAAAACUAAAAUGUUCAAAGUGUGGCAAAUAAUCCCCGGGUAUUUAUCAUGUUGGAACCAACCUCUUUUGGAUUCCGAAAGUGCCCCUGGAAAUUAUUUAGUGGUCCAACAUCAUAUUCAUUGGCCUUUUCAUUUUAAAAAAAUAUGCCUGAACAAUUUCGUUGACUCUAAAACUUUUUGAGCAACACCACAAUUUGGUCCAUGAAUUAUGUGCCAAGUUUCAUUCUUAACAACCUCCAUUUUUGUGCUCCAACUAUUUGCAAAACAGAAGAGGAAAAUAAGAAAAGGGAAAAGACAAAAAAA